rnacentral:rRNA from 1 species
AUUGAACGCUGGCGGCAGGCCUAACACAUGCAAGUCGAGCGGAUGAAGGGAGCUUGCUCCUGGAUUCAGCGGCGGACGGGUGAGUAAUGCCUAGGAAUCUGCCUGGUAGUGGGGGAUAACGUCCGGAAACGGGCGCUAAUACCGCAUACGUCCUGAGGGAGAAAGUGGGGGAUCUUCGGACCUCACGCUAUCAGAUGAGCCUAGGUCGGAUUAGCUAGUUGGUGGGGUAAAGGCCUACCAAGGCGACGAUCCGUAACUGGUCUGAGAGGAUGAUCAGUCACACUGGAACUGAGACAAGGUCCAGACUCCUACGGGAGGCAGCAGUGGGGAAUAUUGGACAAUGGGCGAAAGCAUGAUCCAGCCAUGCAGCGUGUGUGAAGAAGGUCUUCGGAUUGUAAAGCACUUUAAGUUGGGAGGAAGGGCAGUAAGUUAAUACCUUGCUGUUUUGACGUUACCAACAGAAUAAGCACCGGCUAACUUCGUG